AGUGAGAUUAAGACAAAGGAAGAAGAGCAUCAGCGCAAGAUCAAUGACCUCAAUGCUCAAAGAGCUCGUCUGCAGACAGAAGCAGGUGAAUAUUCACGCCAGGUGGAAGAAAAAGAUGGUUUGAUAUCUCAGCUAUCCAGAGGCAAACAGGCAUUCACUCAACAGAUUGAGGAACUAAAGAGACAUUUAGAGGAAGAAAUAAAGGCCAAGAACGCCCUGGCCCACGCCCUGCAGUCCGCUCGCCACGACUGUGACUUGCUCCGGGAACAAUAUGAGGAGGAGCAGGAAGCCAAGGGGGAGCUGCAGCGCGCCCUGUCCAAGGCCAACAGCGAAGUGGCCCAGUGGAGAACCAAAUACGAGACGGACGCGAUUCAGCGCACGGAGGAGCUCGAGGAG